AUGACCCAGCUGGGAAGCGUGAGACCCGGAGAAGGCGAGAAGGCCUUCCAGGGUAGCAGAACCGUGCACCUGAGGGCUGCCGCGCCACAUCAGCCCUGGAUGGCACCGCCCAAGACUAUACUUUCAGGGAUCAUUUCCAUAGUUUGUUACUGGAGAAGUUUCUCUGAACGUGUUGAUGGCACCACCCGCUGUGCUUGCCUUCUGCAUCACCGAGAGGCAGGCGUGGCCAGACAGCUUGAGUUCAAACCCUGGCUCUGCUGCUAACGAGCUGCGUGCUAGGUAAGUUACUUAACCCUCCUGUGCCUCAGUUUCCCCAGGGUAACGUGGGAGUGUAAUAAUGGGUCCACCCCCUUCCCACCUAUUGAGUCAAUAUGUGCGAGACACUUUGGAAGGCCUCUAGCCUAUGAACGCCUAAUGAGCACUAGUUCUAAUAAUUUAGAGCUAGCCCCGGGGCCAAACUGUCUGCAAACCCCAUCCUCACUCCCACGUGCGGGUCUGCCCUCUUCUCACUGCCAGCCCCGGUUUGACUGAGGUCCCUGACGUCCUUAGGGUUCCCAGCCUCCGAGAGCCUCCUGCCACACACCCACAAGGAGUGCCCUCUGGGGCCAUGCGCCGGGCUCCAGAUUGAGCCCCCAACUCCAAUCCCCUCUCAUCACCCCUCCACAGUAUGGCUUCCAUCCCAUUCCCAGGGACUCAAGCAACUGAUUACCCAAAUGUCAAAAUAUUUGAGCGAACCUGCCAUGGCCCCUGGAAGGCCUAGCCUCAUGUCCUCCAGAACUCCUGCCCGUUGGGGACCUCUCCACAAUGACCAUGGUCAUCCCCCAUGGCCUCAAAGGGGAGGGCCCAAGUGCAGGCACAGGGCACCCCAUUUCCCCACAGGACAGCCCAGGGCAGGUUGCAACAUUUAGCAACCCUCCCAAGGCUCACGGCUGAUCAGCACGUCAGGUCCUGGGUGCCGCCCUCGUGACACGACCUCGGCUGUGUAGAGAAGGAAGGAUUCCCUUCAGCCCUCUGAGAGUGGCGCGAAGACUUCAACUGACGUAAGACAGACCAACAGGAGAAAAGGGUACACAGUUUA
rnacentral:lncRNA from 12 species